CGCCCAGCUAACCCUCCUCCCAUUUCCCCUCUGGCCAGGACGCGGGAGGAGCGAGGGACGCCCGCACUCACCGAUGGCUCCGUGGCCUCCCGGCAACACCUCCGCGGUCUCUGCGUGGCCCGACAGCCCCACGUUGGCACCCACUAGCGCCAACACGAGCGGGGGGCUGCCAGGGGUGCCGUGGGCGGCGGCGGCGUUGGCCGGGGCGCUGUUAGCACUGGCCACGGUGGCAGGCAACCUGCUGGUCAUCGUGGCCAUCGCUCGGACGCCCAGACUGCAGACCAUGACCAACGUGUUCGUGACUUCCCUGGCCUCAGCUGAUCUGGUCGUGGGCCUAGUGGUCGUGCCUCCGGGGGCCACCCUUGCGCUGACCGGCCACUGGCCCCUGGGCGCCACCGGCUGCGAGCUGUGGACCUCGGUGGACGUGCUGUGCGUGACGGCCAGCAUCGAAACCCUGUGCGCUCUGGCUGUGGACCGCUAUCUGGCCGUCACCAACCCUCUACGUUACGGUGCGCUGGUCACCAAGCGCCGCGCCCGGGCGGCCGUAGUCGUGGUGUGGGUGGUGUCGGCCGCGGUGUCGUUCGUGCCCAUCAUGAGCCAGUGGUGGCGCGUAGGGGCGGACGCCGAGGCGCAGCGCUGCCACUCUAACCCGCUUUGCUGCGCCUUCGCCUCCAAUCUGCCCUACGCGCUGCUCUCUUCUUUUGUGUCCUUCUACGUGCCGCUGCUGGUGAUGCUCUUCGUCUACGCGCGGGUCUUCCUCGUGGCCACUCGCCAGCUGCGCCUGCUGCGCGGCGAGCUGGGUCGCUUCCCGCCGGAGGAGUCCUCACCGCCGCCUCAGUUGCGCUCUCGGUCUUUGGCCGCCGAGACGGAGGGGACGUGCCCGGCGCUCGCAGGGGUUCCCCCCUCCUGCGUUCGGAGGCCGGCGCGCCUCCUGCCUCCGCGGGAACACCGGGCCCUGCGCACACUGGGGCUCAUCAUGGGCACCUUCACCCUCUGCUGGCUGCCCUUCUUUCUGGCCAACGUGCUGCGCGCCCUCGGGGGCCCUGCGCUCGUCCCCAGCCCGGCCCUCCUCGCCCUCAACUGGCUGGGCUAUGCCAACUCUGCCUUCAACCCGCUCAUCUACUGUCGCAGCCCAGACUUCCGCUGCGCCUUCCGCCGUCUGCUCUGUGGCUGCCCGCGCAGGGAGCCCCGCGCCGCCGUAGCCUCCAGGGCGCCGGAGCCCUCGUGCGCUCCGGCCGCUCAUACCGGCCCAGCCGAGUCCAGGCCUUGUUCGCAGCUCCACAGGUGGGUCACCGCGGCGGAGGGCCCCGCAGCUGGGAGGCAGAAGUUUUGGUCAACUGUCGCGUGUUUGGGGGUUCAGCAGGAAAAGCGGGAAGCUUGGAAAGCCUCUCCAUGGGGGAGAAGUGGAGGCACCGGGAGUCCCUUUGUGCCGCGGGUUCAGCGCCUGGGGCCAAAGCUACGGGAGGGCGAGUUGGUUGGUCUUCUUCAUCCCAGACCCCAAGGCGCGCCCUCUCUGCCUUAAGCCACCCUCCUCUCCAGUUAGUGGAACCCUUUCCGGAGCCCCUGGCGCCAACUGGGGGCCUCAGUUUGGGUUUCUCUCCAAGGCUCGGUGGCUACCAAGCUGACUACUCAGGUCGGCUGUGAAGGCUAGUCCAGCCAUCGGGAAGGAGGAAACGGCUUCCUGCGGAUGAGGAGAAGUCCUGAGGCGCCACGCACAGCCAACAGCGCUGUGGCUGCAGAUCCCGCGGACAAG